rnacentral:rRNA from 1 species
CAGCCGUAAACUAUGCGCGUUAGGUGUACUGGUGACCACGAGUCACCGGGGUGCCGAAGGGAAACCGUGAAACGUGCCGCCUGGGAAGUACGGUCGCAAGGCUGAAACUUAAAGGAAUUGGCGGGGAGCACCACAACGGGUGGAGCCUGCGGUUUAAUUUGGACUCAACGCCGGAAAUCUCACCGGAUAGGACAGACAUAUGAUAGUCGGGCUGAAGACUCUACUUGAUGAUCUGAGAGGUGGUGCAUGGCGUCAGUGACU